AGGCUGCAGUGAAUUCUACAAAGAGGCUAUGGGAAAGAAACCUGGAAAGUACCCUUGGCUGUGUACAUUUGAGUAAAGAGAGCACUAUAAAAUCAAAAACCAAUGAAAUGGUUUCCAGAACACAGAACUAUUAAGCUUAAGAAAAGGACAGAAGGAACUGAAGAGAGAGGAACUGUUUUGGAGCAUCACACUUCCACCUCAGAAGAAAUAAGGAAGGAAGGAGGAGGGUGUUCCCACGGCUCUUCAACCAGGCCGGCUCUUCAGCCUACAUCCCCAUCUCAUCAAGUAAAAGGGAUUUUUCAACUGGACCAACCAGAUGGUUUAACAGUGCACUCCCACACCAUUCAACUACGCAAGGGAGAUACACUUAACAUAUGCAGUCGUAUAACACCUACUAACAUUUUCAAACAUUAAACCUUUAAAAAAGAGUUCUAAAGAAAUAGAAGCUUGAAGUAUCAUCUCUCAAGUAUAUAGACACUACUUCAUGGUGUGGUAAUAUAUGCAUAUAGAAGCUAGUAAACACCUCCAGGAGAUGCAAAAGGAAUUAGAACUGCCACAAGGUGCAAGCAAAACCUUGAGAUGGUGUCAGCUUCCUCAAACCACACAGCUGACCGUGGAGAAAGAGAUCGUUUGUCAAAAGACAGUUGAGGUCCUGUUACCGGGGGGAAAAAUGCCAGAAACAAAAGUUCUGUUUUUCCUCUUCUAAUCCUUCACCCAUCUGAGCUAAAGUCUAGACCUAAGGAGGCUACUAAUUCAGGGAUCGAGUAAUCUGCCAAGCAAGAGUUUAUUCAAGCACAGUUUGAAAUAAAGGAUAUGGGAGGACACCUGAGACGGCAGGCCAGAAGUCACUCAGUAGGAGAAACAUCCGUUAGAAGUAAUAAUGUGGGAUUGCUGAAGUAAAGACUAUAGGAAGAAAAAAGUGUCUGUGUGUAGGAAACGGAAAGGGAGAGAAAAAUACACUGAGAUGGUAAAGUAAGGAAGUGGAAGAUCAGCAGAAUGUGCAGAUGCCAAGCCAUCCAAGAAAAUCAUCUCUUGUGAUUGUUGCGAAGUCAACUAGCUAAUGUGACUCACUGCUAGGCUGUUGGAUCUGAGACUUAUGUGGGAUAAUUUAGAAACUUGCUAGUGUCUUAAGAUCAAUUACUCACCAAUGAGAGUGGCAUUGAACUGUGAAUGUUCCUCCUAGAUUUUCCAUGAAGACUAAUGGUUUUGUCUUGUCUUGAAUUUGUUUUAAUUACAAUUUGUAUACAUCCUGUUCCACCCUGAAAUUUUUAUUUUCCAAAUGGUUUUUCAUUUAAAGAGACUAAAUAAAGGUUCUGACUGAGUUG
rnacentral:lncRNA from 1 species